AAAUUUUCACUCAUCGCAGUUCGACUAAAUUUAAACAGAAAUCACGCAAUAAUUUCACUAUCAGGGUACAGUUUUGAGUAGAAUGUGUAAACUGCGUGGCAAUUUUCUCGCAAUAGGAAGAUAAUGACGAUUCCUAUUGACAACUUGGAGACUGAGAUGGAGGCGUUAACCCGGAUCGUCAACCAGGACGAAAUCCACCCCGAACGAUAAUAAGAAGCAGAAAAAAAAUUGGCGAUGGUGGGAUUAGAAAAAGUCGAAGAAGAAAAAGGAAGAAAAAAAGUCCGCACUUGCGCCGGAUACUGCGCAGCUUCACAAGUUGGUCAGAUCCACCCCGAACCAGCGGGACAAGCGAGUCUCUCGGAAUCCGCGGUUCCGAAAAUCUCACACUGACGGUCCGCCGAAGCAGACGUCUUCGGACCCGCAGACGGCGGAAGAACGAGCAUUAGCGGUAGUCGUUAACACCAUACUAAAUCAAAUGUCAUAAAAAUCAUGAUGCGGUAAAAAUAAAA